GACGAACGCUGGCGGCGUGCUUAACACAUGCAAGUCGAACGGAAACGCCCCUUUUUGGGUCCUCGAGUGGCGAACGGGUGAGUAACACGUGAGUAACCUGCCCUUGACUUCGGGAUAACUUCAGGAAACUGGGGCUAAUACCGGCUAGGAAUCCUUGCUGCAUGGUGGGGGUUGGCAAGCUUCGGCGGUUUUGGAUGGGCUCGCGGCUUAUCAGCUUGUUUGUGGGGUAGUGGCUUACCAAGGCUUUGACGGGUAGCCGGCCUCGGAGGGCGAGAGGCCGCAUUGGGUCCGAGAUACGGCCCAGACUCCGACGGGAGGCAGCAGGGCGGAAUAUUGCACAAGGGGCGGAGGCCUGAUGCAGAAACGCCGCGUGCGGGAUGACGGCCUUCGGGUUGUAGACCGCUUUCAGCAGGGGAGAAGCUUGUGGUGACGGUACCUGCAGAAGAAGCACCGGCUAACUACGUG
rnacentral:rRNA from 1 species